rnacentral:rRNA from 1 species
CCUACGGGAGGCUGCAGUGGGGAAUAUUGCGCAAUGGGCGAAAGCCUGACGCAGCGACGCAGCGUGAGGGAUGAAGGUCUUCGGAUCGUAAACCUCUGUCAGCAGGGAAGAACGGUCACUGUGCUAAUCAGUAGUGAAUUGACGGUACCUUCAAAGGAAGCACCGGCUAACUCUGUGCCAGUAGCCGCGGUAAUACGGAGGGUGCGAGCGUUAAUCGGAAUUACUGGGCGUAAAGCGCUCGUAGGCGGUAUGUCAAGUCAAGGGUGAAAUCCCCGCGCUCAACGUGGGAACUGCUUUUGAGACUGGCAAACUAGAGUGUGUGAGAGGAGAGUGGAAUUCCAGGUGUAGGGGUGAAAUGCGUAGAUAUCUGGAGGAACAUCAGUGGCGAAGGCGACUAUCUGGCACAUAACUGACGCUGAGGAGCGAAAGCGUGGGUAGCAAACAGGAUUAGAUACCCGGGUAGUC